rnacentral:rRNA from 1 species
CCUACGGGAGGCAGCAGUGGGGAAUAUUGCGCAAUGGGCGAAAGCCUGACGCAGCGACGCCGCGUGAGCGAUGAAGGUCUUCGGAUCGUAAAGCUCUAUCCUCAAGGAAGAUAAUGACGGUACUUGAGGAAGAAGCCCCGGCUAACUACGUGCCAGCAGCCGCGGUAAUACGUAGGGGGCUAGCGUUAUCCGGAAUUACUGGGCGUAAAGGGUGCGUAGGGGGCUUCUUAAGUCAGAGGUGAAAGUCUACGGCUCAACCGGAGUAAGCCUUUGAAACUGGGGAACUUGAGUGCAGGAGAGGAGAGGGGAAUUCCUAGUGUAGCGGUGAAAUGCGUAGAUAUUAGGAGGAACACCAGUGGCGAAGGCGGCUCUCUGGACUGUAACUGACACUGAGGCACGAAAGCGUGGGGAGCAAACAGGAUUAGAUACCCCUGUAGUC